UUUGGUUGAGGUUGGACGUGUUCGUGCGACUCUGCGUUUGCUCGUUCGAUCAUUGUACGGUUGGAGCAUCUUUUGCUUAGAACACAAAAAAAAUUGAACCAGCAAUCAUCACCGUCGUCGUUAUCAUUUUGGAAAACGUGACACAGAAUUGUAACUGUAUACUUUUGCUGAAUGUAGUGCAGUGGAGGAAACAUACAAGCUUUUAGAACGAACUACAUUUUAGUGAGAAACUGCAUCCAAAAGUGAGCAUCACCGCAGUGUCUAAUAGCGAGGAAGCAACCGAAAUAGUUUGGAACUUCCAUUUUUGUUCUGUCCCUCUCUACACACAGUCGUUUUUUUUUCUUCCAUUUUCAUCAUCCUUCCGCAGCGCAGAGUCGCGGCCCGAGCUGGUUGAUGUUGAGUCAAGAUCGAGAAAAUUGGCUGGCUUCAGUGAGCGUGUGUGUGUGAGUUGGUGAGUGUUCUGGCUGUGUUUUGUAUCGCCGCAGCUGCUGCGAGCGAGUGCCUUGAGUUUUGCUGCCUGCUUCGGAAGCAGUCUUUUUUUUUUGGUGUGCGUAGGUACUUGCUGCGAGCAUAAAAGUGUAAACAAUCAGUUUGAGAACUGUCAAAGUGGAGCUGAAUAUAAAGUACAGAUAGAACGCGAGUGUUAUACUGAAGAUUCAUAGUUUUUUUUCUUCGGUUCACUUACACGAUUUUCGGGAUUGCUACGUGGAGCUGUGUUGUGAUUAAUUGCUGCGUGUAUUGCUUUGAAAAUUCACAGCAAAGGUAUUUGAAGCUUCGAGCAGCUGCAGCAGGAAGCAAAUAGUAAACAAGGAUGCAGAUUAUUCAGCUUACUUCUGUGUCCAAUAAUCCAGUCCGCAACUGACUCCCUCGCGAAACUAGCUCGCCCUCAACACAUCACCUGUAUAAAUCAAAAAACGAGCGGAGAUAAACUAACUUGAAUUCGGUAUAGCUCCAUUCCUAAACGCCACCAUCGCCAAAGCCCACAGAGGAGAUCAAGCAAACGAAAAAAUCCUGGAAAGAAAAUUGUGAAUGAAAAUCCCUAGUGGUUCGGUUGUGCUUGUUUUGAAACCGUUCGCGUAAUCAGCUAAUUAUUACGAGCUGAAAUAGAGUGAGCCCAUUGUUUUUUUCCUACUUCGACGGGUGACGGACACCGCCGCACAUUCGCCCGUGAAGGUUAUGCAGUAGAGCAAAGUGUUUCGGUCGAAGAAAAAAUAAGUGUCCGUGGUAUAGUAAGUUGAAAAGUGUCCAUUUGUAUAUUACGAUUUGCGUUCAAUUGUAAAUAUAUAAAAUUGAAGAAGAUAUCGCGAAAGCUGUACGGUUUUCUGCCCUGCCACCGGUUCAUGUCAGGCUAGGAGGUUCAACGGAAGAUUUAGCUUCUGUGUGCCGUAUUCUUGAAUGGCGGCGGUUGGCGGUCCGACCAGGCAAUCGCGCGGGGUUUCCAUGAGUGUGUCGAUGUCGCUGGUACAGGGUGGUGCAGCUGGUGCGGCCGGCCCGCAGGGUGCUAUCCUAGCGGCGGCCGCACCCUACUAUCAACCACCGGCCGUUCCCCAGGAUGUGCAGCCAGAUCGUCCGAUCGGUUACGGAGCGUUCGGAGUCGUAUGGGCUGUCACAGACCCCCGUGACGGACGGCGGGUCGCACUGAAGAAACUGCCAAACGUGUUCCAGUCGCUAGUGUCAUCGAAACGUGUUUUCCGCGAGCUGAAGAUGCUUUGCUUCUUCAAGCAUGAGAACGUACUGUCUGCGCUUGACAUCCUGCAGCCUCCCCAUCUGGACUUUUUCCAAGAAAUUUACGUCAUCACCGAACUACUUCAGUCUGAUCUGCACAAAAUCAUCGUCUCACCUCAGCACCUCUCAGCGGAUCAUAUUAAAGUGUUCCUGUAUCAGAUCCUGCGCGGUCUUAAGUAUCUCCACUCGGCACGUAUCCUCCAUCGGGACAUCAAACCAGGAAAUUUACUGGUGAAUAGCAAUUGCGUACUCAAGAUUUGUGACUUUGGGCUAGCCCGCGUCGAGGAACCGGACCAAUCGAAGCACAUGACACAGGAAGUAGUUACUCAGUAUUACCGCGCCCCAGAGAUUCUGAUGGGUGCACGGCAUUAUUCAGCUGCCGUCGAUGUCUGGUCAGUCGGAUGCAUAUUCGGCGAACUGUUAGGCAGGAGGAUUCUCUUUCAGGCACAAAGUCCGGUGCAGCAGUUGGAACUCAUCACAGAACUGCUUGGCACACCAUCUUUAGACGACAUGCGACACGCCUGCGACGGAGCAAGAAAUCACAUGCUCCGGCGGGUCCCGAAACCGCCAUCACACUCAGCACUGUACACCCUCAGUACGCAUGCCACCCACGAAGCAGUGCAUCUACUCUGCCAAAUGUUGGUUUUUGACCCGGACAAGAGAAUAUCGGUGAUCGAUGCCCUGGCGCACCCGUACGUCGACGAAGGUCGGCUCCGUUACCAUUCCUGCAUGUGCAAAUGCUGCUACACUCCGUCGGCUGGCAUGCGUCAGUAUGCAGCCGAGUUCGAACCGUCGGCCGCGCAACCUUUCGAUGAUCUCUGGGAACGAAAACUAACCUCCGUACAACAAGUGAAGGAGGAAAUGCACAAAUUUAUAGCCGAACAGCUGCAAACUGGUCGUGUGCCACUAUGUAUAAAUCCUCAGAGUGCCGCAUUUAAAAGUUUCGCCAGCUUUACACGACAAUCGAUCGCCAAGAAACGACCGCAGCCCAAUUGAUGUUUCAUUCUCUAGUGGGGAGCUUCUCAAACAGGCUUGCCCAUGUAUUUAGAGAGUCAAAUUAACAGCUGAACCCCAAACGGAUGUGCGAAGCGGAAUUUCUUCGAAUAUUUUAAAUAAAAUCAGAGCUCAACCGUGGCACACCCUUCGGAGCUUCCUCCCUCGCCACACCAGUGGGAAUGACACAAUGAAGCCAUGGCAGCCUGAAAUUUGUAGACUAUUGCAAUCUAACUUGCAACGGAUGGUGACACUCAUCGCAACUCGGACAAAGCAAAAUUGGAUACAAACUAAACGAAACAAAACAAUAAUUUUGGACAAAACUACAAUUUGGAAGAAAUCAUCUUUACAGAAAACUUGUAGCAUAUAAGUGUUACUAGUGCUAGCGAACCACUUAAAACGGAUAACUACGAAACUAUUGAUUAAAGAAAAACAGCACUAACCAGCAGACCCAGAGGAGACACGAAUGAUAGACAAAUCUUAACCAAACCGGAGAACGUCAGUUUGUUCGGAAAGACUUACGCACUGCGCGUUCAUCCAACGCAACCGAAGGAGAAACCCGGAGUAAGAUACUAGUCGAUGCAUGCUGCAAUGCAUCCAUAUUGCAAACAAUAACAAAAAAAAGUUUGCACUUUCCAGCUACCUUAACAUUAGGUAGCACAUCAAUAGGAGAGGGAAGGGCUCCAUUUAUUAAUUACGGCAAACGAGAGUGUAAGAAUGAUGGAAAAGUUUUCUGCCGCAGAAUCUGGUUAUCGUGCAAAAGGUGAAGAAUAAGAAUCGCAAUUUUUAUCGCAGAAGUUUCCCCCGAGCAGAAAACAAAUCGUCAUCGUUGUUACGCUACGCUGGAAGACUUGAUGCGAUGACUAGGCGGUGGAAAACUAUAUAUGCUAAUUUUUCUAUUUCAAUGAUUCAUCGUUUAGCUGCAUCACCCUGCAUAAAUGUGAUUGUGAAGAAAGAUUUACAAAUCAAAACUAAAAACAAAAGUUGACGAGCAAAAUCUUCUUCCGGCAGUUUAGUAAACCAGUUUUAGGUUUUUGGUACGAUCGCGUGAUUGACAGGAAACACAAAACUGAACCUUAUAUCAAACAAUGAUAACGAUAAAGGAACAUUACCUUGAAAGUCUGUAAAAAAAAGCGCAACUGCCGCAGUAUGUGUGUGAUAGUGUGAUCUAUAGUGUCCGUUUGAAAGUUAUGUGUUUGUAGUGCAUAAAAAUAAAACAUAAAAAUCGCAAAUAAGGUCAUUUCAAAGUGUCUCGAUUGAUUGUUCUUCUUAGGUUGGCGCUAAAGGCGCUUGGUUUAAAAAUUCUUCUUAAAGUUCAAGAUUUUUGAUUCCUCUUAAAGUUAUCUAACAUCUUUUUUCUCGGGUGCCGCCUCAAUAGUGGCUGACAUCCCAACCAAUCAUCAUCAGAAACUGACCCAGAGUUUUUCGAUCAAUUUUGCAAAAUUUAGAUGAUCUACAUUUCGAUCAACUGGGAAAGAUUAAAAAAUUAUGCUUACCAGGGUACAUCCCGAAAGCAUGGCGAGAAGUAAUAAAAUAAAUAAUAAUUUAUUCUCACUAAAGCUUUCAAGCACGGAAGUAGCCUGUUAUACAGACGGACUCUCUGGUAGAGGGACGUGCAGGAGAUGGUGUCACUAGUUAGGAAAAUACUGGUUUGGUUUGAAAAGUUAUGAACUUCUGCUCAGAUAUAGCCUGACCACAACAAGGCCCUUAGCUUGGACAACAAGCUAUGCUAGCAUGUCGAACUCAAAUUGAAGCCUGUGGCAUUGAUAAUACUAUCAACCUCGUAUGAGUGUCCUGAUAUUCCGGUAUUACUGGACGCACUGUUUGGGCAACUGAUUCUUAGUGCCAUACUAAAGUUUUUCGUCCAGUGUGUGGAAGACCUUCAGGCUUUCUCACAGGCGUUUUGAACUAGUUGUGAGUUUAACUUAUCUGCUGUUUGUUUGUAAGCUGUUCUUUUCCCAUCCUUUCAAUUCUAAUUUCUCUUCUCCUACUUCUCUCUUCCUUUUGCCCAGAAAAAUGACGAGGAGACAUGACAAGGCGCACCAUUUGAACCAAUUCAUUGUGAUUCCUGAUUCCUGAUCUUUUGCAUAAGUGUUACGAUAGGGUAACCCUAGGCGGUUCUAUCGUACAAAUAAUAUUUAUCGCGGCUUAAAAAUAUUACUUAAAAGCAUUGUCGGCUGUCUAUGUUGAAGCAAAAAUAUCAAUAAGAAUAAAGAUACCCAACUUCAACGAAAAACUGGAGACAACAUUUUGAACCUACUCUAGUAAAAUUUUUACUCACUCGAUUUGUUGACUACCAAAGUAGCAAAGCUUAGCUAAAACCACAGAGAAACAACCCACUAGUAGGAUGGUACCAAUGGACGAUAAAGGGAUGUCUCCAAUAGGUUGUAUGAAAUAUAUGGAAGUUGGGUAUCUUUCUCCUUAUUCAUAUCUUUGAUAGAAGUGACACUAGCAGCGCUGUUUGUCGCUACUGGUUGGCACGAUUGAUCGUUGAAAGUUUUCAGGUCAGUUGCUAGGGUCGAUCUCCAACAUCUUCACCUUUAGUAUCGAUGGUAUGGUUCGUAAAUCGUAACGGACAAGAAGUUUGCGGUUCCGAGGUAGACGGUUGCGUUGAGUCAACACUGGGAUUGAUUGAGAAUGGUGAUACCUUAGACGACAUCUCACGUCUGGUUGGAACAGCUCUUGACGAAAUUCCUGCUGGAAUUCGUUUUUUUAUCCACGGAUACAGUUUGGUUGGUUUGGUAGAACUUACGGUGUUUCCGAUGAAGCAAAAAAUAUGAUACCCCGCACGUUCACGUAUUUGCGUACCAUGGGAUGGGAACAGCUGCUGACGGUCUGGUAACAUCACGUUGUACAUAACCACUACGAACCGUUCCAAAACUUUGCCUGCGCCUCAGUUUCAACUAUGGCUUUGAUGAAUCUUGACAUAACCGUUAUUCUUGGCUAGAAAUUUUUCGCUUUGGUGCCGUGUUUACGACUAAACAGCUGGUCCUGCUUGGAACUGACAUCGUUGUGGAAAUUGCUACCACAUUUCAUCACCUCGAGCGAAUUACGAAUGUGCCGACCUGGAGACUUUUCGUACGGAGUGCUACGAUACGUUGUAGAUCGGUAGCAUUGCAGAUAUGUAUAGGUGACUUCUAGUUGCUCCUCUCCUGUCAGUUUUUUCUUCAGUGUGCCUUUGAGAGUAUCAAUCAACAAACCUCUCCGCUUGUCCGCUGCUCUGAGGAUACGGCGCCGUCUUUAGUUGCAUGGUAGCGUUAGAAUCGCAAUACUUUCCGAGGAUCCAGCUAUGUAGCUGUCUGCUAUUAACGGUCACCAAUACUUCAGGCACGUCGAACCUCGAAAAGAUGUUUCAAAGUAUGGCGAGAGGCUUUCCAGUGGUGACACGCUGUGUAGGUACUAUCUCAAAUCAUUUAGAAAGGGCGCUAGCCAAAAUCAUGAACCAGGUUCAGCGUAGUUGGCGUGUACCAUGGCUUCUCUUGUAUUGGUCAUGGCGAGAGCGAUCUUUUCGUGUCUGGUUUGCCUAUGCUGGAGAUGGGCUUGUCAAUGUUAGAGCAAACCAUAUAGUUCAACGCUAAUAAUCUCUGCUCAGCUGCAAUUUUUUUAGGGAUAAUGAUCCUUUCUCCGUAUAUACUUCUGUGCGAUGCUGAGUGACUCCCGUCGAGUACAAAACUGUUCAAUUUUGAGAUCCCCCAGUUUUUUAGUUUACUAGCUUACCUUGACGAUUUAAUCUUUCGCUUUCUGCAAGGUUUUGAUAGUCUCUGCGGCAAUCAUCUUGUAUGUGACUUGCAGAAAUCUGAAAACUGGUUGACAAUACUACUGAUAGAUCUUUCGAGUCGAGCUCUAAAUUAUCGGUGGUAGUAUGGUCUAUCAACUCUAUUCUCAAAUUAUAGAAAAGCAUAGGCAACACCAAUCGCUGCAGGAGUAGGCAGUAUAUGUCGAAAUGCGCUGUUUCGAACCAAAUAUCGAUCAAUGUAGUUUAUGGGAGUUGGCACGAUAAAAUAUCGCCAUGAAGUUUGGUUACACUAUACAAUACAGCAUGGGUCUGGUUGUACCUCGUUUCUGCCGAAGUCAAGCUUCCGUCCGGAAAUCAUUGUGCUAUGCGGGCACUUGUAUCCACAGUGGAAACGUUUGCUCAAACUAGAUUUCCAGUCCGAGAUUGCAUUGAGAAGAGGAGACUACAGAAACAGCUUUGAACCGGUUAAACGAACGUUACGUGACGAAUGAAAUUUUUUUUAAAGUCACGUAAAUAAAAAAAACAAACAUAAACGAACGUUGACAAUCAUUGAACCAUUUGAAAUAUUUUUUUUUUCGAAAACCAAUUCGAAGCAGGUCAUUAUAGAGUCUGGCGAAGUCUGUGUGCUUCCCUUAAUAAAAUAUUUCCGCUAGAUAUGGACACAUCGUAAGCGACAGGCAUAUUCAUGGCAGCUGUGACUUUCUGCGGAUCCGGACGAAUACCUUCUGCGUCCAACAGUUGUCCCACGUACUUCACUUGGUUCGCGAUCAACCGACACUUGCCAAUCUUCCCAUACUCAUGCAGGUGUUGGCAGACCUACUGCAAGAUUUGUUUGAGCUGCUGAUGCAGGUAGUGGAAAUGGGCGAUUGGUCGGCUCCAAUGUAAAGUUAACACAAAUUCGGAGAGAGCGAUCAGCCUUUCGAAAGAUUACGAAGGGCGCUUUCCACUCGAUAAACGUUACCAGAUUAAUGAUAUUUGAUUGUUGCAAGCUUCAAUGCUAUACGUCGCUGGCUGAACACGGUCGUUUGAGUGAUUCAUCCACCUGUGUCUUCUUAUUUAACGUCUUCAUUUCGGUUGCAGAUGGAUGACAAGGGAAUGUCCCAGAGAACGAACCGAUCCAUAGCAUCUGUUCCUAAAUAUUUGGAUUUGGUUUUCACACGCAACAUUUACCCACUUUGUAGAGCAGAAGAAGUCUCAGAGGACGACCUGGUAUCUCCCAGUUUUGAUAUGAGAUAAUAAUGAUAUCGGAGCCGGAAUCGAGCUACUCCAUUGAUGUUGACUGUUGCAAAACGCCGAUCUUUUUACAAUCUAUCGGUACUCGAGCGUUGAUUCUUCUGCUUGGGCCGCCUUAUCGCUGGCCCAUUGUGUAGCAAUCACGACACAUACAUUUCUUGUGCGCGAUACUACACCCCUUGUACGGUGAUUUUGUUGCAUCACUUCCCCCGUCCGGGCCGCAUUUGAAGGCAGUGACGUGGAUGCAACUGUAUCAUUCCCGAUCAGAACCGUGUCCUUCAUGCAAUGCAUCAAGCUAUCAACAUUCAACCGCUACUUCUUCGAGCGUCAUGUCAUUCGUUUUGGUGAUCUUCGAAAACAGGCAUAUCCGCUUGCUGUACCGAAUAGAGCCCACAUACGAAGAUUGCAUUGCUCAUCCCUGAAUCCCUUAAUUUUAGAGCCACACGUGCACGAAUUCCAGCUUACACGAAUAGCUGAUAAAAUCCUUGGAUUUGGUCUUUGUUGUCGGUAAACAUUGAUAGCAAUGACAAAUACUGACACUGAAAUGGAUUUUAACUCGAAACGGUUUUGUUCAAAAUUAUGAUCUUGAGAAUGAUGGUGAUGGAGUGAUGAAUGACGUGUAUUUGUCAUGUGCGGUCGUAUUUAGAUUCUACAAAAGUCGCAGGACGUAUGCAUCGUCUGAAAACUAAAGCAGCUUACACGCACCGCGUGGACUUCUUCAUUUGUUUAGUAGUUCAUGAAGAUAUGCACCAUCUGAAGACUGCUCUUCGUCAGGCAACUCCGAGGUGAAACUACACGAGUGCGGAUAUCUGGGAAGAAACUUGCAGCAAGGCGUGGAACAUAGCCCAUCAUUCUCAUGUAGAUAGAUGAAGCUGAACCAAUUGUCGAGUAUUAUAUCGGCUCCAUACCGCUAUGUACAUCAGCACCUUCUCUCGCCAUACCCAUGUCUACCUAGCCCACGUCUCUCAUAUAUAUGACACAAGACACGCGUUCUCAGUGCAUUGCUCGUGCAUUUGUGGUUUUACAAUCAAACAUAACGCAUGCAUUAAAAAUGGACUUAUUGCGAAUGGCGAGCAAAAAGAAAACUACAAAGGAUUAUUCAUUGGAACAAAUUUCCUUAAAUUGUUUGUUUCUUAUGAUUUCUACAAAAAUUCUGCGACGCCCAGCCUUGCGGCAAUUGGUUGAACACAUCCGUAGCCGAUAAAAAGAUGAAUGUCAGCAUGUUCUUCAGCUCUUUCUCGCCCUUCGCGAUCAGCUACUACCCCCUUUUUGGACAAGAAUGAUUGGAGUAAUUUUUCCUUGGACGCCCAAAAUUUUUUCUCUCGGUGGCAGCUGCGGACGUUGGGAGGGUUGGUGGCCUUUGGUACAGUGUUCAUUUUCAGCUUUAUUUCUCGGCGCAAUAGACGAAGGCCAGGUCUGGCUAAUAGACCGCAUCCUUCUUCGCCUGAUACUUCUUGAUGAAGGCGACACUUCCAGUAGCCACUUCGUGCUGUAUAUCUGUCCAUUCAACGCAAGCUCCAAUAGAUAGAAAAGCGGCUUAAACAUUCUCUUCUAGCUGAUCGUCAGUCACAGACGGGCCUCUUUCGGGAAAUUGAUGGGGAAUAUAUGUUUGACGUCCUCUCUUGUGGAGGAUGUAAAAUACCAAAGGUCCCAAGCCGUCAGUCGUAGCCGUCCAGCCUAAAGUAGUUUUCGUCAUCCGUCGACCACGACAUCGCUGUUCAUCAAAAAGACCGACGGUAUUGUGAACGCCAGAUCGGCUAUAUCGGUCGGACCCGAAGUGCCUCCAGGUGUCCAACUUUUUCACUCCGGUGAAGCUGGCUUGUAGUACCAACGAACCAUCGAGCAUAGUUGCUUGACUGUUUUCGCCGUUAUAGCCAUGAUUGCUGCAAAUCAAUAGACUUUUUUACGGCUCAUGUACGUACACGCCACAUGGCACAAAUACUACAUCACAAGCUGGUGGAAAAUAAUAAACAAAGACGGCAAAAGUAAAUGGGAUUGUUUACAACCAGGAAACUUCAUUAGUGUUCAUGAGACCGGUUGACAAGAACUCAAUUGGCAACACAGUCACAUUUUUCUAUACACAACAGGGUUGCUAUGAUUAGCGCUGAAUAGAUGGGUUCAGCAUCAGGUGGCCGGGUAAUCGCCUGAAAAAUCGCUUAAAUCAGUUCAUUAUUUUAAUGCGUAUGUUAUCUGCAUACUUUUUUCCGCGUCGUAGGCAAAUUCCACCAUAUCUUACACCAACUGCUUUCUCAUCGAGUCUUGCACAGAAGUCUGAAUGGGGUGCAUUUACUCUCCGUAAGCUGUGACAUCGUCUUGUGCUGAUUGCCUUGACCUUUGAAUGGGUGGUUCUGAAAAUAUGGUCUCAUCAGAACUUCGAGAUAUAUUCGAUCCCCAGCCAGGAAGGAUUCUUAGUGAUCAGUAGGAUCGUAGCAUUAGACCUGCAAUUGUUCAUGUACAUCAAGAAUCGGUUGAAACAUAAGUUUAAGGUCUGCAACAGAAUGUAGUGUUUCGUUCUGCUUGUUUGUCCUUGAAUUGCUGUUCUUCUGCUCUGCCGGUACUCGCAUAUCAGUCCCAUAUGCAAAAUCAUCAUGUCGAGAAAAUGCGCCCAUAAGAUUUUUGUUUUAUUUUGCGCCCAGAUGAGCUGCGUACGAUUUACAACUGUGCCCUACCACCCUCCAAAUCAUUUUCAUUGAUGGGCAUUUGAUGAGGAAAGUCGAAAAAAUUUCACAAUUCAAAUAUAACAGAUAAAUAUUGUCUGCAGCUUUCAUCCAAAAUGCAUAUGGGACUAGUAGGUGGGUACUUUUCAUAUGGGACUGACAUUAGUUGGUUAGUUUUUUGAAUAAAUCAAUUAUUUUCAGUACGUUAUUUGAUAGUACAAUUAAAAUAAGACCCAACCCUGAAGAUAACUCAAAACUGUUGAAAAUGCAUAUUGGACUGUUGUGCGGGUACCGGUGCUUGUGGUUGGUCGCCAUUGCUGCGAACGUUUUCAUCCACGUGUGGAGGAAUUAUGACAAUUGUACCAUUUUGCCGCUGAUUUGUUUCAAUAGAGCAUCGGUUUUCAACCAUUUUCGAACCGUGGACCCGUUCACAAGCACCCAGGCUUGUUGCGGACCCCCACGGCUAAAUAUCCAUUUUCGGUGGCAUCAAUAUAAUAUUUUCAGGCUGUUACAAAUAAAAGUUCGUUUCUGGAACAUACUCUUCUACGCGGACCCCUAGAAACUACUUCACGGCCCCCUAGCGGCCGCGGACCCCAGGUUGAGAAUUGCUGCAAUAGAGAAAGGUAGUGAUUCAACCGUACAAAUCAUUAGUUUAUUGUGUUUUUAAAAUAAUACUGAAAAAUGAUCGCGCAUGGCACUAUAUUGGCUGUCUGCUGUUGGUCGCUCCUGGUAUUGUAGUGAGAUAAUGGGAUACAUUUCCCAAAAUCGACCAUGUUAAAUCUCGUGGUUAGAUGAAAUAUUUGAAUUGGAGGGACUCCACGGAUUUCUAUUCUCAACCUAAACAAAGGCAUUAUAAUCAACGAUUUUUGUACGAAGAGCACUUCACAAUCGAGACACUUUAACCGAAAAACGCAAUCAAACCCGACAAGUAAUUCUAUAAAAGAUAACAGAACUGAUUUACGUCCCAAGUGCAAGGGGCGCUAAUGGCAAACGAAAAAAAAUGUAUAUUAUUUUCUCGACUUCAAGCAAGAUUAGUUUUUAGUAAAUCAUAGCAUUAAGUCACAAAACAAACUACACAGAACGUGUAAAUAAUUUAUUCAUUGUAUUGAUUUCAUGCUGAUUAGUUUUUGGUUCGUUCGUGCUUUAUUUCCCGUUCCGUUUUCUUUGCUUCGGUACAUCUAUUGUUUGGCAUAAUUUAUCAUUCUUCUUUCCAACACCAGCCAUUCUUGGCAUACUCAUCAACAAACAACUGUAAAACUGUGUUCGUAAUGUAAUACUUGAUAGUUUACCAGCAUUUCUUUUAUUAAAAAUGGGUGGAAAGUUCAGCGCAAAACAAAAUCUGAAUCUUCUUUGUAUGCGCCCUAGAAAAAAAAUAUUCAAAACAAAUAGCGAAAGAAAGUCCAACCCCAUUGUGAAAACGUGACUGUGACGAGCAAGACGACGACCAGAAGAAAUGCAGCCAAACAAAGGAAAAAUAUGAUAAAUAAAAUCUUUCACGGAGAUCUCAUUAAUUUUUUGUCGGAUCGUAGAAUUAAUUUUGUUCGUAUCUGGCGCGCUCGAGUAACGAAGGCAAAGGUGACGAAAUUUCCCCGUUUCUAAAGCCACACACGGAAUAGUGGGUCGGUGUGUGCUUGUGUUGAGUAUUUUGCCACCUUUACUACCCCUGUGGGGCUCCCAAUUAACUGAGCGGCUGGGCUACGAACGGUAAAUAAACUAUACAUAUUAAGUUCAAUUCACCGCGUUUACCAGUAAUACUUUUUCCAUGUCAGUACGGAUUUUUUUGUUUGCGGAACUGAAUGGGUGACAUGUAAGGCAGAGUAACGCAAAAGAAAUUAAUCCAGCUAGAUUGAAUAGGCGGCAGCAAAGUGUAAGAAAACUGAUUGUACAUACUAUCGAAAAGGAUAAAGUAAAAUAUGAUAAUGAGAACAGUUUGAAGAAAUUAACGGUGAGCCAGAAGUACGAAGUCCAUGUGCUCAAUUGAGCGUUUAGGUUUGUAAUAAAGGAAUGAAACCAACUAUCUAGUGGUUUGAUAAAAUAAGAAUACUAAACUGGUGUGAUUCAGACGUAAGCAACUAUUGUGUAAUGCAACAUUUUAGAUUAAUUCCUGAGCCAAGUGUAGUAUUCAAAUGUAUGGGCAAGAUGAAGAAACGAAAAAAAAACGAAUGAAGGGAAAAGCUUUACCACACGCGGAGCGAGAGAAAGUGGCUGCGUACGUGUUUGUAGCCAAGACACAAGCAUUUUAUAGCAAACUUAUGCCAUGAUGGUGCUGCGAUCGCCAAGCAGAACAGAAUCCUCUCUCCACGUAGAAAAAAAAACAUGAAACAAGACUUGAUUUAGAUUCAUUUUACAUAGCGUAGUUUGUUGGUUUCCAACGAGACUUUAUAACUUUAAUUUGUAUCGACGUAAGAUACCCGUAGCUCAUUUUAUUUUGAGUUUUAUAUUAUAAUAGGCAUGAUGCACCGAAUCAUAACCGUGCGGUGUUAUGAAUUAGCGAUUUUAGCUACAUAUUUUCGCUACGAAUACAUGAAACGGUAUCGCUAUGAAACCUAUCAUUGUGACUAUAUCUAGUGUAUUACUGCUCGAAACUACCAACAACCUAAAAGUAGACAUUAACUGAAAGGAAAGGAAAAGUUAAGCAAAAUGCCAACGGUAACACUGAAGACAGAACGAUAAAGAUUAGUUGUAAGCAAAAAAAAAUCUGUGUAAUUAGAUGAAAAUGUAAAAAUUUUGUAAAAAAAAUAGAAAAUCAAAACGCACUUAAACCAGACAGAACACCUGCUUGUUUUUAUUUAAGUUUGCACCUUCCUUAUUGUUUGCCUGCUGUUUAGUUUGCUCUUCCAAUGGUUCGCUAUUUUCUCUCUGAUUAUCCUUAGUUCGAUUGCAGUUCUGAUAUGAUUUCAUUCAAUAUUAUUUGUAGCUUUUAAAAGGUUCCACAGACGUCUGAUGUCGCUAAUAAAAGUGCGCGUUUACAUCGAAUCGUCUUUAACCCAUUAUAACCCAGGGGUUUCAAAAAGUGAGCCUAAUGCAGCGAUAUCUUCAAUUCCACCAAAAAAUGUAUCAAAGAUUAUGGGAAAAAUAAAAUUACUGCUGAAAAUGGUUUUGAGAAUGAAAAUAUUUCGUGCAAAAAAUUUCGUACGCUUAAAUAAAAACAACAAAUUUUAAGUUGUUUGACAUAUUUCUUCGGAUUUUCUGAUAGACAACACUUUUUUACACCUGUAGGAACGUUUUGUCACAUAAUGGAAUUAUUAGCACGAAUUCCAACAAUAAAAUUCAAUUAAAUGUAUUGCUUACUUUUCAGCCGCCAUUUGCCCCAACUAUGUUCAAAAAUGUAAACAAAAUUAUAAAAAGUGGCAGUUGUCUUGUUUCACAAUGAAAUAUGAGGUGCUAUGAUCCCAUUAGUGCAAUAAUAAAGCAGUUAGAUACCAAAAUUCUGCAGAAAAUACGCGUUAAACGAUGGAUAGUUCUGCGUAUGAAAUUUCAUACGCUAGGAUAUAAUGGGUUAAUCCUGCGCAAACCAGGUCGGAUCGACUGUAGGCUAUCGCGUGUAUGGGGAUGUCUAGGCUAGCGUAUGUAAUCUCAAAUGGUCUGCGGAGGGUUAAAGACGCUAUUUGCACUUAUCCCUUGGUUGUUAAUGGUAAUGAAUACUAUCAUAGACACUAGUAAGAUGAUAUAAGGUAACAGUCUUAAUCUUCGAUUCAGUUCGUCGAGCUGUCUGUGUGUAUCUAUGUGUGCGGCAUUGAAAAAAUACACUAUUUUCUCAGAGAUGGCUGAACCGAUGUACAGAGCGGAAGCGCGCGGUUGGCCAGGUUGGUCCCCGCCAAGGACGCCAGCCUCAGAGGGGCGCUGAAAUCAUGAGGUUUUCAACUUUUGUGAGGAUAAAUCAUGAAAUAAGUCAAGAUAAUGUGUCAUUUUCAAGUGAACUGAAUGUAAACACCAACGGGUUGCAAAACUAAUGCAAUUUUUGCUCGAGGAGAAAGGUUCUAACUCCAAAUCCUGUUUCAACUGACUGAUUCCCACAUGGGGAUCAUCAGACUGAUACUCUUCCAGAAAAGUAUAAUGAUUUGUCGUAGUGAGUGGCGUAGCUCUUUUUAGUUUUUCUGUAAGAGCGCAUAGAUUGUCUUUAAAGGAAACGCUUACGUUCCUAGGACCCUAGAUCAAAUGGACUCUCUCAUAACCUUCAAGCAGUCGCGCUAGUGCACUAAGUGCACGCUGCUCUGAAAAGCUAGCGAAAUCGUCUUAGAGCAUCAGCGACUGCUCGUUCAGUGGGCCAUGCGCGCGAAUUCCGGAGGGAUAAUAAGCAUACCUAUUUUUCAGCAUUCUCAGUGCAAGAGUCAUCCUCACCAUUCUCGGUACAACAGCCGAAUAGGCAAGCGAUUCUUGUCGAUGAAGACGUAAUUAAACACCAAAGAUCACCCGAUACGAGUUUGAAGUGCUUUCCGUUCCAUUUCAAAAUCCUUCGCUCAAUGAAGCAAAGGAACCUUGAAACAGCCAACUCCGUGCUUCAGUAGAUCCACGCACAAUUUCGAAUCGGUGACCCCACCGUCGAUCUCAACUUUGUAAGCGGACAUUUAGAAGUGGUAGUCCUUCAUAUAAACCUUUUCGCUACUAACGUAAUUUUCUUUAGACAGAAUAACACAAUUCCGAACUCAUCUGAACGACCUUUCGGGAUAUCUGUCACUGUUAAUAUAUAUGCGUUAGUUCUUUCAAAAUCUUUAUAAUACUUAGCGGAUUACCUUUGGUCCGAAAGAAACUGAAAUGUGGUCCGAUCGAAUUCAAUCAAUAUUUUUAAACGGGAAUUCAGAAUCUGGGUCUUUUUAGGAAGGUUUAUUUAUGCCCGGGCCUAAGCCCCGGCGCAACGUGAAAUCUUAAAGAAUACGAAGCCAGAGACAGAAAUUACGGAAGAUAUAAUAAAUUGAAGGACAAACCAAAGUAUAGUAUAGUGGCGUAGCUCUUUUUAGUUUUAGUAAAGAUUGCCCCGCAGUAUAUAUUGGACAAACCCGCAGAAAGUUCAAAGUCCGCAUUCGAGAACAUAAACAUGCUGUCGACCACGAAAGAGGCAACGACUCCAGUGUGGCAGCACACACUAUAGCCCACAAUCACACAAUAGACUGGGACAGUGCGAAACUCGUGAAAACUGUACGGAAAGCUGCACACCUGAACGCAUGGGAAUCAAUGUACAUAGCCAAUGCUGAACACGUGCUUAUGAACGAGGACGACGCGCCAAUAUCAUCACCCCUUUUCCACUUGACAAACCUGAAAAUUCAGUGAAUUUUUGGGUUUUUUUUAACUCUCUUCUCGACGAGUACUGCACGCAGUAUGAUUGUAUGUGUCAUCCAAUAAUCAGUCGGACAUCGUCCUGUAGAUGGGCAACAUCGAGCCCGAAACCGGUCGACAAAAAGGUAAUUUUUAAUCUUUUUUUAAGUUAGUAAGGACAAUAAGUGGUGUGUCCUGUCUCGCGUCGCGUUUUUGUGAGUGUGAAUCGAGUCCUUACGUUGGCACAGCCCCAAAAACAAGUGUAAAGUAUAGUAAUGCAAACAUUAGUAUUAUUAUUUUCUUUAUUAAGGCUUUAACCACUGAGGGUCAUUCGCCUCGAGCAAAUGCAAACAUGUGGUUAGUCUGGGGGUUCACAAGGGAUGGCAUUCCCAACGGUUUUUAACCGAAACUGUUACGUUACGUCAGCAAAACUUUUUAUGUGAUUACCUAUAAAUGAGGAAACAUUCGACUGCAUUGUAACAUUACUUUAAUUCUCUCAAUUCACGAAAGAAUUUGGUGUUUGUGUCAGUGGAUUCAUGAUCACCGCGACAUAUUCGCUGACAAUACUGCAAAUGCCUUUGUGGCCACCGCCUUAGGAGAGCGGAGUUACGGGUUAAAGAGUGCGGUCAGACAGCAAGAAGUAAUACAGUUUAAAAUAGGUGCAAUUAAUACAUAUUAAAAUGGGUGCAACAUUACUUAGAUUUGCGGGUCUAGAUCACUAAAACGCGAUUAAAGUAGCUUUGACCACAUUGGCCAUCUAUGGCGGUUGUAGAUGCCCCCGGAGAACUCGCCAAGGUCCUAAGCUAAUAUUACACCUUUUUUUCAACGAAUUCUUGACCGAUUUUUUCAAACUUGAUUUCAACAGAAAGAUACAUUGAUUGCUAUUGAAUUUCAUUUGGUUGCGACAUUUGCUUUCGGAGUUACAGGUUGUUUAGUAAGGUCACACUUGAAUUUCUUAUAUAAACCGUUACAAUCGUAAUACUCCAGAGGCUAAAAAUCUAUUGAAGUGGUCACAAAAUUACUGCGAUUUGCAGGUCUAGAUAACUGGUUGCCAAUCAAACAUUCUUUGAAUAUACAGCCUUAUUCUGCAUUACGACGGAUCGCUUUUUCGAACGAAUGUGAUUAGCAUUCUUAAUAACGAGGGAGCCUACUUCGAAAAAGCGAUCCGUCGUAAUGCAGAAUAAGGCUGAUAUUGUCAACUAUCGAUAGUUCCGGAAGUUCCAGCUUCUGGGCAUGUUCAACAAUUAAAGCCACAUUGGUUCUUCGGUGAUGACGGAACCGAUUUUCUCAAAUCAGGUCUCAAAUCGAAGGUAUAAUAUGCAGUUGGGUGUUGCAUUGCCCCCUUCCUAAACUGCACUGAGGACUAAUGAUAAUGCGUUUUCGCAGAACAACACCGCUUUCCGCGGUUUUGCUUGAUUUUUAGCGCCGCACCCUAGGCAGGAACCCCAUAUCGCAGUAUAGAUGACGAAACACUAGAUAUCACACGUCUCGUGCUGCUUCUCCGGCCGUCGACGAUUGACAUGAUCCUCGCUAUUGCGUUCGUUGCCUACGCCGACUUUUCGCAGGCGUAGUCGACGUGGCUGUUGAAGCUCGACCGGUAGUCGAUUGUCACUCCCCAAUUGCUUUAGUACACGCUUCGAUGAAAUCACUUACCCUCCGACGUAGAUCUGCAUCCGCUGCACCGCUUUACAGUUGCUGACCAACAACACUUCCGUCUGUUGUCUCCGUCACCGACACCUUCACUUCAUCUAGUGUCUCACCCAUCACCGUUAGUGACACGUCGUCCGCGAAACCAACGAUUUCCUGGUCAGCCGCAAAGAGUUGGGCCGAGAAGGGAACCCCGAGAAACGUCCGUUGUGACUCGCAUUGACUUCUGCCCUUCAUUCUUUUUCAGGGCCUGGCAUGGUCAUUCUGUGAAGCGCUGCGGCAAUGGCUUCCCAGUUGGCGCUGUUGAUCGGAUUCUUUUUAUCUAUUGUAACUACUGCGCAGCAUCGAUCUCAUUCUUUAGUUUCUGUUAAGAUGCCUUCUUAGCACUCCCGAGUAUUAUUCGAAUUACCUCAAAUGUCGAUACUUCUUUGUGGAAUCCGAACUGCAUCUUGGACAGUCCGCGCUCACCCUCCCUGCGUUUCAUCAGUCUGUUCAGGAUAAUUUAUUCCAGGGGUUUUCUGAGUGUGUCCAGCAGACAUAUAGGUUACGAGGCUGGAUCGCACGGUGACUUCCCUGGCUUUGGCAGCAACACCGGCUUCUUCCACAUUUCGGUGAAAUUGCCAUCAUCCAGACACUUCUGCAUCACCACCCUGAACAUGUCCGGAUAUGCCAAGAUCGCACACACUAAAAAAUCUGAAUAUUAAUGAUGACUCAAUUGACUUGUCAACUUGCAUUUCGCAGAUGGAGGAAAAGGCACAAAUUGAUGCAGUAUACACCGACUUAAAAGCAGCAUUUGACCGAAUCGACCUUCGAAUACUUUUAAAGAAAAUGUUCAGGUUGGGUGCGUCGCGCAAUUUUGUUAAAUGGCUGAGUUCUUACUUGCGUGAUAGAGUUCUACGUGUGCAGCUUGGCUAUUGUGUCUCUUCUCAGUUUACGAACAAAUCUGGGGUCCCACAGGGCAGCAACAUAGGGCCACUACUGUUUGUGCUAUUCUUCAACGACGCAACUUUGCUACUUGGUUUUGGAUGCAAGCUGGUUUACGCUGAUGACCUGAAGUUGUACCUCGUAGUCCGCAAUGUCAACGACUGCGUUCGGCUUCAAGAGCUUCUGGAUACAUUCGUCGGCUGGUGUCGUAGAAAUUGGUUCAUUGUUAACAUCGCUAAAUGUCAGAUAAUAACUUUCCACCGCAUAGUCAAUCCUAUACUUUACGACUACCAGAUCGAGGGGCAAAGGCUCAAUAGAGUUGAUCACGUCAGCAACCUUGGCGUCUUAUUGGAUGCUAAGCUAACCUUCAAUCUGCACCGUUCAGCUUUAAUCUUAAUGUUUACAUGUCGCACGUAAUUUUACUGUUGACCCAAUGUAAAAUUAUGUUUUUGAAUAAUUUGGUGUUGUGUAAAAAUAAGAAUGAACGUAAUAAUCGGUCAUUUUGUUCGCUGGCAUAUGUCGGCGCAAGAUGACGUAAAAUUACAAGUUUUUCGAAGUAGCUUCCCGAAAUGUCGCAUGCGCUGCUUUUUCACUCUCCGAUCUUGCUCUAUGAGCCCGCCUUCUGAUUCUGAGACAAGCAGCGUGUAAUACACUGAGCUACUCAUUUAACCGGUAAGCUGGACGCUGUCUACUGUGUGGUUCAUGUUUUGCGGCCCCGCCGUCACAAUCCUUCUUGUUCGAUCAGCGGCAUCAACGUUCAUGAUUCCGCUGUCCGGCCAAACUGAUUCAACCAAGAGGUCUGUUGAACGCUUUCGUCUUCCAAGUUAGCUUGCCGGUCAUCCUUCUCCAUGCAGUUGCAGGGUUUCAUGUUCGCCGUCAGUGAAGGACUACAGAAUGUGACGGAAUUUCUCUCGAUACCGAUGUCCGUUUCGUGAGCCAAUUAGCUCACAGUUUUGUUACGAUAGUAGGAGCCAUUUAGCUCCCCGCUUCGCUGCGAUCUACUCGACAAAUUCGAAUACAAUGCAUACAUUCAGUUAGAUUCCAUACACCUAUUCAUCUAAAUUAGUAAAAUCCUAAAAUGUAACGGUAACGUUUUCGGGUGCGUGCGGAAAAGAAGUGUCGCGUUUGGAUAUGUGUCAAAAUCGCUUCACUAGCGCCACGCGCUUUGCAGUGGAAUAUUUUUCAUAAUAUUAAUCGGACAUUUUUUCUAUGGGUGAUGAAAAUUCAUCUCGUGUUAUGUCUGUUUGUCUGUGGUUAAACCGUGGGGACCCAGGGUAACUUUGUACGGAUUUAUGGUGCGAAAAAGGAUGAAAAUCUUUCCCAUGAGGGUAUCAAGAUUCAGGAUGAAUAUUGAAAUAUUCGGAAAUACUCACUAUACGGCAACUUUGACGGAAUUACACGAAGUCCAUAGAAUCACAGAGAACAGACGUCCAUCUACAGCAUUCAACUUGUUUAAAAUCUCUAACGGUUUCGAAGGUAGUUGGGAUAUCCAAACCAGGUGCACUACUGUCGUCAUGUUUUUUGUGGCUGAGUUCGACAGAAUUGACAGCGGUUAUUCCUCUACCCAGUCAAACUAGUCCGGAACCGGUUCGGACUUCCAGCAGGAAUUCCAGCUCAAAUGCAUCAACCGAUAGAGUUGGAAUCGGUCGUUUUCUUUGAGCAAGAUUCCAUACUGAUUCCAUUCAGGAUAUCGAACCGGUUCCGGAAUGGAUUUGACGGAUAGUUGGGAUAGGUUGAUGUGGCGGCGAUAGUGUUUAUCGUAUAUUAAUUCAAAUGUUUACACACGUUUUUUAAAUAUUUUUGUUCGAUCAUGGAUGUCUGUUCUCUGUGAUAGAAUUUAUCGUAUUGUUAGCUUCCGGAAACCAUAAAUUAAAUAGAACUUUACCUGUACAAGGAGCCUUUAACAAUCUGCGUUUCAAAACAGCUCUUUGCAGAGAUAGUUGAUUUCAGCAAUUCACACAAGGCGUAGAGUUCUAAAACUGUAUGUAGAUGCAAUAAAAUAUUACUAUACGGCGGUCGUUAAUUAAUAUCUCAAGGUAAAACGGUGCUUAAUUUGUUCUACUGCAAUCGGUGUAGUUCCAAGAUGAACCGGCUUAUAAAUUUAAUGUCUCUAAAGUACGUUCAAACGAACGUUAUUGUUUCUGAUUUUACGAACAAAAUAAGAGCUGUAGUACCAGUAUAGUAUAAAGCGAAGACUGUAUAUCAAGAAGACUGGCAACUCUGCCCACAAUUUGGAAACAGUAACAGCAACGCCACCUCAACUCAAUGCGUUGCGUUGCGUUGUGACGAUGAUUUUGGCGGAUUGCACACUGACUUCAUCAUGUUUGACUGCAGAUUAUCUAAUAGGAAUUGCUUAGGAAGUGGUAUGGAGAAAUUCAUACCAAUCCAACCCAUACUAAAACCUCAACAGCAUGACAGCCAUUAUUGCCGGCCGCCCCCAUCUCCAUCGUUCACGUGGAAGGAUAAAGGAUAAGGUAGACGGGAAGUGUUGAUGCUUCACCUACUUAACGGAAGGUAGACAACUCAUCAGACUCUUCCAUAGGUGUCGCGGAGUUGGUGGUUUGGACGGGUAUAAGGUCUGGGAUUCGCCCAAAGCUAGCGAUGCGACCUGUAAAGCAUGGUUUAUUAGGUAGUAGUUUAGUUUUUUUUACAGUACACGAUCACUUGAAAAAGUAAAUAUAUUGUUUAGUUUUUGGUUCUUUUUAAACUCUGGGUAGCCGGCUACAAAGAGUAUCCUAUUUUUUUCUAAACAAAAGCAAUUUGAACUCCACACAGCCGACCGUGAGAGUAUUGCCUAGGAAAGCUAAUUCUAUCUGCAUAAUGGUCCGGAUCACUAUUUAUUGCGACAGCAUUCAGACAAAUUUCGCUAUUUCUUUUCUACGAUUUACUACCGAGUGAUAAUACGUUGCACUGACAAAGAGUAUUUCCUAUUUUCCAUAUCGGAUUGUUUGUGAAAUUCACGUAUACGAACGAUAAUAUCGAACAUUGAAGGGAAAUAUAAAGCAUCGUUAAUCUGAUGCACGGGUUUGUUAGCAAAAAACGUAAAUUGAAAUUAGAUUCAUAAAAACAGACGCGGUGAAUUUUCAGUACCUAUUGACCCGUGAUCAUCGAUACCAGUGCGAAUAAGGUUUUUUGGGGAUAAUUUCAGAACAACUAUUUAUUGAGAAAAAUUUUAAUCGAGGCUUCUAUACAAACCGAACCGAAAGAUUCACUCUGACAGACGCAAGCAGUUUCACGCGCGCGUCGUUUGUUCCCCUUCCCUGUCAGCAUACGACUUCAGAUCCUAGCCGAUCUUCACUAAUGCCACUCCUGCUCGAAACGAUACUGAAACAGACUCCAAUCCGUCAACCUGUCGAAGUGAACGAACUGACAGCGGUUGGGGAUAGAACCCGACCCAGUCCCGAGUUUAAGUAAAAACGGCAAAAGGUAGCCUGUACCCCGGUUGGCACCGCGGGGAGGUAAGGGAUAGGAGUUCUGUAUCAGAGGUGAAUGGCUACAUCGAUUGGCCUCAUGUUGCACGAUAAUACAGCUUGCCAACCUUGUUUAUUUGACACGGCUCAAUGCGUUAGCAUAACUGAUUUUUACAAUAUGUAAAAAAUUAAAAUUCACUAUCAUGUGUCCAUCGGGUCUUGUUGACGUAGCUUGCUGCUGCGUAUUGAGAUCCUCUUUCUUGGUGGUGAAAAAUGGGGUGUGUUGUCUGCCGCACCUUGGAAGUCAUUCGGUCCGUCUUCUCUCGUUUUUUUGGUUCACGUCCAUGUCGUCAUCGGUACUGCAUUCAUGAUGUUCACGGUCCGACGUUCUUGUUUGUUUCUUGUACCUACGGGUCGCCUGUGUUUUCUCUGUAAGCGAUUUGGUUGUCAGAACAUCCCAACAAACUGCCCACGAACCAGGAUAAUGAAAAAAGCCUCAUCAAAUACUCUUCAAACAUUUCAUGGCAUUCCACGGAAUGUAAAGGAAUGCCUUUUUCUGGUGAAGGUUAUAUGUUUCGACAAUAAAACGGAAGUCCCCUGCCCUCCCACUUAUUUCCUCCAAUUCCUGUCAGUCAGGUACAGCUUUGUUCGUUAUCCGGAGAGAACCAAACAAUACCAUACCUUAAUUAAAAGCCAAACCCACUGAACCUAGGAAUGAAUGAGUUAGGAGGGUAUGAAAUGAGACACCAGUGAAGAUCUUUUAACAAUCGAAUAGUUACCUUUCUCCAACCUUACUUGCACUCGAUAUGUAUUGUGACUCGAAGACUCUAUACAAUGAGACGAAGCAUUGUUGAAGAGAGCACCUCAGCGAUGGUGCUUCUUUUUUGAUUUUGAUCCAUUUUUUCCCAUUUUUAGGAAAUUCGAAGGAGUACGCUUCUCGCAACUUGUGGGAAGUGACUCAAUUUUCGAUUUCCCGAAAAUCCGACAAUUAUCCACACGCAUCAACGGUUUGAUCAAAGAAAAUUAAAGAGUAGGAAUUUAUAAUCUAGGGUAAGUCCAUACAAUAAAACCCAAUUUUUUCUACCACUUUUUCAAAAUUGAAUUGUUACGCAGUUGAACCGCAAGAGGUUGCUACAUCUAGGCGUUCAAAUGAUCAAAGACGAUGUACUUAUGAUCAAAUAACAACGGCUCGAGCUCGUUGGGUACGAGCCAGUUUGCCAACUCAUGCGUAAUACCGUCAGAGCAGAGAGUUACAUCUAACACUUCUUCUUUGCCAGAUCGUGCAAAUGUUGGGUGAUUUUCUACAUAAAGUAUACGCAAAUUUGUGCUGCUUAAGUAGUCCAUCAAUUCGGUGCCUCUCAAAUUGAUUCUGAGUUGCCUCAAAUUAGCAACGUAUGUUCUGAUUUUGUAUGGUAACACGUCAAAUGCUAUAGGGAUAGGCAGUAGUUCGAUUGUACUCCUUUUUGACAGCAUUUUUCUUAGAGUUUUUUUUUUAAUUUUUCUCAUGGCGCUGCAGAUGUGUAGAGAGUUCUAUCAGAAUUUAUUAUUAUAGUCAAUAUAAUGCAUCAAACAUUGCAGAAAUUAAACAUUGCUUUUUCUUGUAUAGUCUUGGUCUUGUUAUUUUUCAGGAAUCAAGGAAUUAAUGCACCUAAAACAGUUUUGAAUCACUACAUUUCUCUGUCUCAUUCAGUUUUAAUUUUUUUUAAAUAGUUCUUUCCGAAUUAGUAAUGUCUAAUUCUAAAAAAUAAACGUUUUUGCUAGCUUCUGGUUAUUCGUUCUUCGCAAUAUUUGAUAUCAUUUCCAAUUGUCAUACAGAAUAAAGGAAAGUUGAACAGCUAAAUCACCCCACACGUUCGGUGUCACCUUGGAAUGUUUAAACGAAAAACCAAAGUAGAACAAUAACUUAGUUCAUAGAUGAAGCACAAAUAAAGAAAACUGCGUGUAAUCAAUUACGUGUAAGCCAAUAUUCACUGAUCACAACCACUGAAAUUACGUGUUGUGCCGAUUCCAGACAAUGCUGGCCAUUGCUAGAACUGUACACCCAGAACCAACAACAAUGCAAUUAAUGUUAAUGUCCAAUCAAACCUAUCACAUGUGAUGUAAAACUUAAACCCAAUGAAAAAAUAGUACUUCAAUGAAAACCUUACAAAAAAAAUAAACAGCACUUUGUAGGUUUUGAAAAGUGUGUGCACAUCCAAAACAAACAAUGACUGAUUAAAUUUUGAAUUGCGAAAUCGUACAUGAAACUGCAUCGGAGCUAUCGCAACUUCAAGCGCAAUACAGCAAUACACAUCGCAAACAGAGAAAAAUACUGUUAUUUCAUUAUAGAAAUAAUUACUCUUAAGUUUGUAAAUAUGAAAUGAAAAAGAUCGAUCCAUUUUUCACAACAAGACCAGAGACAUGCAUUUAGAAUUAGUGAUAAAAAAUUGCAGAGAAAAUGUUGCAACCAUCAAACAAUAAUUAUGUGUAAGAUUGAACGAUUAUUACUUGUAAGUAGCGACGCUUGUCGACCGAUAUCCUGAACAGAUUGAAAUCGAGUAUUUUUUUUAUUCGUGUCAAACUUAGAGUGUUGUUUAAUGCAAAAAAUGGGUGCAAAACUAUCUAUACAUAACCGGUAUCUUAUUUGUUUGAAAAGCUAAGCUAAUCCUCAAAUCAUUCAACUAAUAUAACGAUCUAAAGAAAAAAAGCGUUUAUUGAAGCGAUUAUGGGAAACCGAUAAAACUAUAAAAUUUAUAGUAGAAGUAAUACAGCUUUUGAAUGUGAUAACCUAAGCAAAGGUAAAGUAAAUAGCUAACUGUAACUCUGGUUAAAUAGUGUUCUGUCUAAAUAAGAUGAAUAGUAUCCUACUGUACUGGCACCAAAUCACCCUAGAGUAACAAUGUUCACGCAAGUAACUAACACUCGUUUAUCCUCAUAACUCUGAACAGACUGAACACUCCGAUAAAGUCUGCAUUUUGCUCUGACAUCUUCUCUGACAAAACCAACAAGACCACAUUUUUUCCCAAAACAGUGACGAUCGUCACUAGUUGUUAGUGGAAUCCUCUGAACGCACGGUUUCAACAAUCAGCCAAACAUGCAAAUCGAUAUUGAAAACGAGUUAUUUUACACCAGUCGUUCAUCAAUACAUACAAAAAACACACACACAUACAGGAAGCACUGUAAUCGAAAUGGAGCAUUCAGUCCGGUUUUUAUAUACAGUUAGAGUAAUAGUUACAUAAUUUUUCGAUGUUUAGUUCCACAGUAAUCGCAGUAAUUCCAAUGCAGUUGGUAGAUAUAUGUGUUAAUAGAGACAACAUGACACGAACCAACAGCAACUAAAGCUAAAUAAAAAUGUGUAAAUAGCAGCACCAAGAUAAGCCUUUGAUAAAAGCAUGUUUGAAGAAUGUUAUAAAAACUGUAGAAACAGAGAAAUUUAAUUAAAAUUGGAAGAACAGAAGAAAUAAAAAACGGUGACACAUUUGGAAUUUGAACACGUGUUUGCAAGCCUAAUAUUUAGCUCUCAUGUUUUUGGACAGUUAAGAAAAUGAACAAAAUGUAUAGCACAAUAUAUCAGAAAAAGUGAAUAUUGCUAGCAGAAAGAUAGUAAUUAAAACUACACCAACAAAAGUUUGGGUAAAAAGCAAAAUAUCUGCUGUUCUAACUGGGAAUAAAAUUUAGCCUAGUUUUUCAAUACAAAUUCAGGAACUAUUGUAAUAACCUUGAAUGAACAGUUAUAAUGAGAGAUAUAUUAUAAUCUGACAGUUAAAUCAGUUGUAAAUAUGUGUACAUUGUAGUGAUUGUGGGAAAAAUGACAGCAUAAAUAAAAAGUCAUUGUAUAAAUUGUAUAA